rnacentral:rRNA from 1 species
GAUGAACGCUAGCGGCAGGCCUAACACAUGCAAGUCGAGGGGUAGCAGGAUUAAGCUUGCUUAAUUGCUGACGACCGGCGCACGGGUGCGUAACGCGUAUGCAACCUACCUUAUACUGGGGUAUAGCCCGGAGAAAUUCGGAUUAAUCCCCCAUAGUACUAAUUAAUCGCAUGGUUUAUUAGUUAAAGCAUUGCGGUAUAAGAUGGGCAUGCGUCCUAUUAGCUAGAUGGUGAGGUAACGGCUCACCAUGGCUACGAUAGGUAGGGGGCCUGAGAGGGUGGUCCCCCACACUGGUACUGAGACACGGACCAGACUCCUACGGGAGGCAGCAGUGAGGAAUAUUGGUCAAUGGGCGCAAGCCUGAACCAGCCAUGCCGCGUGCAGGAAGAAUGCCCUAUGGGUUGUAAACUGCUUUUAUUUGGGAAUAAACCUCUUUACGUGUAGAGAGCUGAAGGUACCAAAUGAAUAAGCACCAGCUAACUCCGUGCCAGCCGCCGCGGUAA